CUCAUGGAUUACUCUGUCGCUGGAGAUCUGCUGAAGUUUGCUGAUGUACAACUCGAUGGCGUCUGAGCACCAAGAUCUACAUUUCUGCAACCCUUAAAUUCUUCAAGUUUUAAGUUCCGGAAAAAUUCUCUGCCUGAUGUCCUCCUUCCAAAAAAAUAGACUGGGACCAAGAGCUAGAAUCUGAAUCUAGUUCCAAUGAAGACGACAACUGUAUGGUGGAGUUCUUUUUCCCCUUCCAGCGUGAUGGAUGCGGAUCCGACCUUCAGGGCAUGGAGGCAAAGAGUUGUGAAUAUUGUCUGAUCUCCAUUGCUACACUCUUCCAUUGGCAUAAUCUGUUGCAUCUCUCUCAGACUUGAUCUUUUUGGAGGAAAUGAUAUCUUGUUUAAGCUCAUUAUUACGUUGAUUGCAUUCAUGGAAAAAUCGAUGAAGUUCUUCUUCGUCUGGAUAUUCCUCCCAACAAGAUUACCUGGUUAAGAGAUCUAAAUGCAAAGAACAUUGUGUUAAUUGUUUUAUUCGUUAUUCUCCAUUGGCAAGAAACAUUGUAGGUAUCAUUCAGAAAUACAGGUACAUUGUUGAGAGCGACACCAAGUUGCAAUCGAUUUUUGUUAAACCACUUAAUACAUCCCCUAAUUUGUGUAACAUGCUGGUCAGGGGCAGAUCUGUGCGUUGCACAACCAGCACAUUGUUUGAGUAACAUAACUUGGGGUGAUUUUAAGUGCGGAUGCUAUCAACAAUGUAAUUUUACAUAUAAAACACAAACUUUUCAUCUUCCCUCUAUGCGAAAAAUGUUUAAGAUUCGAGAAACUAUGUACUAUUUUACAUGUUGCGUUGUCCUUGUGGACUU